ACAGCCUCAUUUUGGUGAGUUUGUUUGUGUCAAAGUCAGAGAGCCGUGUCUCUCUACAGUGAGAGGUUUUUGUACGGCGGCUCAAUGACUUUGUAUCACUGUGGUGGACUUUUGGUGGAGGAACCAGACUGAAUGUUGGAAGUGAUGUCCGUCCCACCCUGACGGUGCUGCCCCCCUCCAGUGAGGAGCUGCUGAAGGGGAAGGCCACGCUCAUGUGCCUGGCCAACAAGGGCUUCCCCUCAGACUGGAGUCUGGCCUGGAAGGUGGACGGCAGCAGCAGCAGCAGCAGCAGCAGCUGGGAGGAGAGCAGGAGCCCCGGGGUGCUGGAGAAGGACGGCAAAUACAGCUGGAGCAGCACCCUGAGGCUCCCUGCAGACCAGUGGGAGAAGGUGGGCUCUGUGACCUGUGAGGCCACCCAGGGCUCCCAGACUCCACUCUCAGAGACACUGAGGAGAGACCAGUGUUCCCAGUCCUGACCU